rnacentral:rRNA from 1 species
GAUGAACGCUGGCGGCGUGCCUAAUACAUGCAAGUCGAGCGAACAGACGAGGAGCUUACUCCUCUGACGUUAGCGGCGGACGGGUGAGUAACACGUGGAUAACCUACCUAUAAGACUGGGAUAACUUCGGGAAACCGGAGCUAAUACCGGAUAACAUGUUGAACCGCAUGGUUCAACAGUGAAAGACGGUCUUGCUGUCACUUAUAGAUGGAUCCGCGUCGCAUUAGCUAGUUGGUAAGGUAACGGCUUACCAAGGCAACGAUACGUAGCCGACCUGAGAGGGUGAUCGGCCACACUGGAACUGAGACACGGUCCAGACUCCUACGGGAGGCAGCAGUAGGGAAUCUUCCGCAAUGGGCGAAAGCCUGACGGAGCAACGCCGCGUGAGUGAAGAAGGUCUUCGGAUCGUAAAACUCUGUUAUUAGGGAAGAACAAAUGUGUAAGUAACUAUGCACGUCUUGACGGUACCUAAUCAGAAAGCCACGGCUAACUACGU